UUUCAUUCCCUCAACGUCCAGGCAACGUGUGACCACAAAGGUAAGUCCCCUCUACAGGUUUGGCCUCAGUCUUAAAUGCCCAUGUAAUCCGGUAGAACUGUAACAUUACAGUACUGUACGUAUUUUCAUAACUUUAGUCCGGUAUAUAUCUUAAACAUUAACUCUUAAGGAAAAACAGUUUGUUCAACUUUUGUAAUUCGCAGUGAUCAACGUGUAAUUUCACAACUUUAUCACUAUUUCAAGCACACGCAAUUAUAUUUCAUUUAAUUUGCAGAUGAGAGCUGAUAUAAAUACAGCAAUAUAAAUGCAUACCAUAUUAUUAAUGCGCGCAUCUAUUUUGAUGUAUCCAAAAUUCUUUUCUAUAAUCUGCAACUUCCAUUCAGUGAUCCACCCAUGAGAGAGACUACACGCUAACUGAAUUCAGUUUACUCAGUACUGGCGUAGUAGUCUGUAAUGACAUCACAGUAAUCUUGACACAUAUGUACUUUGGUACAUGUCAGGCCAUACAUGUAUAUGAGUUGCUGAGUAAGAAUCGCGUUUUCCUAACAGAGGCUCCUGUGGGGUAUUUCAACACUGGUUUGUUGAUUGUUUAUCAUAAGGCUAGGUUUGGAAUUAACAAUAUUUCUCAUGUAACACUUUUUGGCAAUUUGUUGUUUGAAUCCCAAUAUUAGAAUUCUGUCAAGUAUCUAGGUGCCAUUUUAGACAGUGGAUUAUCUGAAAUGUAUUUGAUUAACCACUUAAAAAGACACAAUGUUAUUCAUUAUAUUGCAAUGUCACCUUGAUUAUGCUAGUUCAUCCUGGUAUUGUGGACUAAUCAAAGGGUUGAAAACAAAUUUCAAAAUAAGAAUAUUAGACUCAUUAAUAAUUAUGACUGUAGGCACCCUGUAAGUUUGUGCUCCAGACUUUGAAAAGUUAGGAUUGUUAAAUAUUAACCAGAGUUGUAAGCAAUUAAGAGUGAAGCAUGUUCACAAGAUUUUUAAUAACAAAUCUAUUUUAUGUAUGAAUGAUCAUUGUAAGAGAACUAAAGAUCUACAUAAGUAUAGACAGGAGAAUUUUCUUUGUGCCUCAAGUUAAUGGUAUUACUGUAUGCACAUUCUACUACAAUGGCAUUUUGGACUGGAAUGCUCUGCCAUAAGAUGGAUCAUGUUUCAUAGCUUUCAUGCUUGAUUGUGAAUGUCUCUUUAAUGUUUAACAAUGUACUAAAUUUAUAUUCACAGGGAUGUUUACAAGUGUGAAUGCAUGUUGUCCUGGAUGCUGUCAUGACUCCAACAUCUUUCGAAUGUCCAAGCUUGGGCAGCAUAUGGCCAAUCACCAUCAAGAUCUUGAACGUGGAUAUCUUUUAGGAGAUAGUGGAUACCCUUGCAGGCCUUUCCUGCUGACACUGUUACUUCAGUCAGAGUCAGAAGCUCAGGAAAGGUACAAUGCUGCGCACAUCGGCACCAGGAACAGUAUUGAAAGGGCCUUUUGCAAUCUGUAUCUGUACCUGCUGAUGUACCACAUCUUGCCUGCAUCUCUGAUGAAAAUAGUUACAUUAUAGAACCCUGUUAUACAUCUUUUAUGUUAAGAUCAUAUUAUUUGUUUCAUUGAGUCAACGUUGUUAAAGCAAGUGAUAUUUUGAAGUUUUUAUUUGUUUCAUACAUACUGUUCAGUAGAGAUAUAAUAU